GAUAGAGGAGAUCAUAAUGAAGAAGUGGGCGUUGGUUUCGUUGGAUUUGGACAAACGAGUAAAAAGUUACGGCUAUUUGAAAAAUCAGGGCCAAGCUGUUUUACGAAAGAAAAAAUAGCUACGGGCUAGGGUCUAAUGUAUAAAUAUGUAGACUAAUUGAUAAUCUAGUUAUUUUAUCGUAUUAGUCUAAAAAUAAUAAACUACGGAAGUAUAAGAAAAAAAAGAUACCUUUAUAAGGCAGAGAAAAGAUGACUUUGGAGAGAAGAGAAAAUUUCUAGAAGUCGCGCCGGAGAGGAGAAAUAUAUUUUUCUUAAAUGAAUCUAGUCAAACCAAAAUAUUGAUUUAACCCGAAUCGGAUGAUUUUUGGAGGCUCUAUGGGUCUAUAUUUAUUGGUGGAAAAGAGGCUUAGAGGUCAAAAGCUAGGCAAUGUGGGACUAAAUGUAGACGAAAAUAUACGAAACAGAGAUGAAAAGAGGCGAGCGGCUCGCAUGGGCCUAAAGGACUUCGGCCGGCCGCGUGCACGCUGCUGCUGCAGUUUUUUUUACAAAAUUCGGCCUAAGAAAAAAAAUAAAAAAAAAUGAAAAGGCUGCCUGGGCCUGGUCUAUUUAAGGGAGAAAAAAAAGAAUGGGGCGCCAGAAGCUACUAUACUGCGCAUGUAGGCGAUAAAUAAAUAUGGGCCACACAUACAGUUUUCUUUAAAUAGAAACAGAAGGAAAACCAAAUAAAAAAUAAAAUAAAAAUUUUAUAUAGGCAUAUUAUAUAUCAAAAGUUUCAGAAAAAUAUUUUCUAUGACAUGGACAUUUUUUAUAAUGCCAAAUAAAAUCCACACAAAUUCAGAUAAUUCAAAGAGUGCUACUAGUCUAAUGAAAUCCAAUGAAAAUCAUUUUAAAAAAUACGAAAAUGAUUUCAAAUUUACUUUUUUUCUCCAAUUUUCUAUUGUAGGGAAUCAUGUUACCCUAUUUUCCAUGUAUUUUGUUUUUGGAGAAAAAUAAUUUGAAUAAAACUCAAAUAACCCAAAUUGAAAAUAAUAAUAAUUUCAAAUGGAUUUUAAAUUUGAGUUUCUUUGAAACUCCCAACUCAUAUUUCAUUUGUUUUGAAGAAGUCAUUUUAUCUUCUCUCAUGAAAAUCAUUGAGUUGCUUAAAGUUUCAGAACUGGAAAUAUUUUCAGAUGAAAUUCAAAUAUUUUCAACACCCCUAUUUAAAUAAAUGGAAGAAGUCAUGUUAUCUUCUCUCUAGGGUUUCGUGAUGAAAAGAAUUUGAAUUCACGGAGAUCAAAAUGCAAAAAGGUGAAAGUUUGGGAAAGUCCUUUUAUUCCCUCUCAUUUAACUUUCAAAAAGUUUCCAAUUUCACUCAAUCAAUCACACAACAAUCAAACAAACAUUCAAUCUAUCUAUUUAUUAUAACAUUCCAAAAUUUAGAAUUUUGGGAUGUUACAAACCUACCACCCUUAAAAUGAAUCUUGUCCUCGAGAUUCGGAGAGGCUAGCAAGAAAAGGUUAGGGUUUUGGGGGUCUCCUCAAAAUCCAUCGAUCGUCUCCGGGGUCUCGGGUGCUACCACCCUUUGAAGCAUGGUUACGGUUCCAUCAAAACUCAUAUACUUCAUCCAUAUUGUUAACAGUGUCGGUCUUCUCAGAUCUUCAGGAUAAUUCCUUAUCUGGGCUCUUUCGAUAGUGGCAUAACCUUUUCCUCAAUUCUUCUGUCUUUCAUCUUGGUAAGGUUCUUCUGUGACUGGGUCUUCUUAGCUGACGGGUCUGGCGCCAAAACUAAACAACUAUCGAUAUCUCAUGGUGGUCAACAAUUUAUGGUUCCUUCUGCGAGAAAUGGGUCUAGUUGAUCCUCACCGUAUAACCUACGGUUGGCAAAAGCUGCCUUGUAUAAGGGAAAAAUUUCUUAUACCAUUCUAAGGUUUAAACAGGGUUUUGAUCGUCGUCUCUCUACUAUAGGUAAGUCACUCAGAUUUACCAUCCCAUAUAUCAAGGCGAACAAUAAGAGUAAGUCGGUAUGGUGAUCAAUCCAUCCCGCACCCAAAUCAUUACCUUAUAUACGGUUUAGCGAAUCUCGCAUUCUAACACUCGGUCAUCCUCACAAGCAUUGCAGAAUUUCUCUUGUCAACGAACCAAGUUCGGAUAAAUCCAUUGGUUCUGCAAGCCAAACAAACAUCUAUCGGUCCUUCACAACUCUCAGGUUUGCGUUACUCCUAUAAAAUCAUCUGUCGGUAAACGUAACUUCUUCUAGGGUUUUUCCUUCAACAAGAGUGUGCUUGCUCCUUGGCAGGUCCUGGGGCCUGUGGGUUAUGGCCCAUCUCAUCACUUGUAGUCCUUGAACUUAUCAUCGGGCAACUGAUCAUUAUUCCAACUUCCAACUUCCUAGUAUUCUUAAAUCCAUCCAAUUGUAUUGUCUUCCUUCCUUCUAUUGGCACCAAACUAGGACAUGAUUACUCAGACUCAUCAUGGAGUUUCCAUUGAUCCAUAUUUCCGACAUCAUACCUCCUUUAUAUCCAAUAGUAAUUUAUCUCUUCAUCCUCGUGGGAUAUCCCACAUACCGAGAUAAAAACUUAUACUUAUGGAGUCCAUAUUCCACUCCGUGGAACAUCAUUAUCCUUUCCAGUGUCAAGCGUCCUUAUAGGGGAAUAUUGGCCAUCUCUGCAUGGCACUUCUUCAACUGGGAAACAUGAAACACAUCUUGAACUCCUGUCAGUCCUUCGGGUGACUCCAACUUGUUGGCCACUUCUCCCAUACACUCCAAAACUCGGUAUGGUCCUACAAAUCUCGGGGCUAACUUUCCCUUAACUCCAAUUCGUUUAACUCCUCGCAGAGGGGACACACGAAGACAUGCUCUGUCUCCAAUUUCAUAGACUACCUCCUUGUGUUUUUUUAGUCCGCAUAACUCUUCUGCCUGGACUGAGCUACCUUCAGUCUAUCUCGAAUCAACUUAACAUUCUCUUCUGACUCCUUGAUCACAUUUGGUCCAACAACUGACGGCCUCCAACUUCAUCCCACAUACUCUUGGGGCAUCACACAUAUCGAGACAAAACUCAUAUUCAUUUUGUCUGAAAUCCACUCAGUGGAGUAUCCUUAUCUUUUCCAGGGGUCAACGAUUCUUACAGGGUACUACCACCCUUAAAAUGCACAAAUCUUCCAUAGACCACAUUUCUCAUAUCCUUAGAAUGGCCAAAAUUCUUCUUCAUAGAGUAACAACUCAUAAAAUCCAUAUCAGUACCAACGAUGCUAACUUUAUUCAUUCUCAAGUGAUUACAAUCUCUCGCUUUUCCAUUACAUGUCUCAACUCAACACCUCAAUAUAAAAGAAAAUGUUCUCACUUCUACUACUCCAUUUCUUUUGUUGCAAACUCAACUAUCUAGCACAAGUUUCCUUCUCCUUGGGGCAUUCUCUGGCAAAGUGCCCUGCUCCAUUACAACUAUAACAUAUUACUUCUGACAAGUAUCAAGGUUUCCUUUUUGGGCAAUUGUUGAGGUAGUGCCCUGACUCCUUGCACCUGUAACAGGUGAUAUGACUCAGGUCCUUCCUGGAAUCCAAUCUGCUUCUCUUCCUAGACCUUUCCAUGCCAAUCAUGGCUUCUAUUUCUUGUGGGUCAUAUUCUACUUCCUUUGUCGGGAAUUAUACUAGAUCCCCAUUCAAACAAUUUUGGGAGAUGUGUCCUUCUUCUCCACAUGAAUAGCAAGACUUAGUGUAGGGUUUACUCGGGUCUUCUUUAGGUGUGUCCUCCAUCCCUUCCUUCAUCACAACUUCUUCUAAAAUUUCCAUGAGGGCUCCUUUCAUUACUUCUUUCUUCUGCUGGAUGGUUCGUUGUACCAUGGGGUAAAUGUGACACUAAGCAGGAUAGUGGGUAGUCCCUUCACACAAGAAACAAGUAAUCUGCCUAGUUGGGCAUUCUUCAACUGGGUGACUUCCUUCACAAUUAGGGCAUUCAUCCUUGUGUUCUUUAUGGGUGUGUCCUAUUUCUCCACAAAUCUUGCAUGCACAAGGUUUCUUCAUAUCCUUCCCAUAAGGCUUCAACUUCUGGGACACAAGCCGAGACUUUGGCAGAGUCAACUUAAAUUCUUUCCAAGUGGUUACUCCUUGCCAUCCAUUGAUGGUUUGGUACAUCCUCCAGCAAGUAGCAACACCUCUUUUAAAGCACUGAAGAUCAUGCUGGGUCAUAUCCUUUCCGACUAUAGGGUUAUUCUUCAUGUGAUCCUCCAUGUUUUGAAUCCGUUGGUCCGUCUCCAAUUGACUCAUCGGUCCAGAAAAUAUAAGCUCAUCUUCAUUCAUCCUCUAUUGGGUCCAUGGGUUUGGGGUGAGAUAAGAGAGAUAGAGAGGGAUACACACAAUACAAACAAAAGUUUUGAAAAGACACAUUUUAUUUGUGGCUGUCGGGAAAAACAUCAAACAAAUGAUAGCUCACAAACGUCGCAUCUAACGUAGGUAUAUAACAGGGGUUUGGUCUUCUAAAGGUCAAUAAAUCUUCAAUGUCUCCAAACUCUUCAAGCCUUGUUCAUGCCUCCAAUGGCUUCUUCCGAUCAUUCUUGUCUUUCUCAAGUUCUUUUGCCAGAUCAACUCUGUUGACGCGAAGUCUCUCGUGACAUCCUUUAAUAUUCUGGAGUUGCAUUCCAAACUUCUGGUUUCAACAUCCUUCGCAUGAACCAUGGUCCUACUGUCCUUCAGUUCCUGACGAAUCUCCGGUAUCUCGAGGUUUUGCUCCUCCAGCUUAGCUACUCUCAUCUUUAGGGUCCUGAGUUCCUCAUGAAAUACUUCCUUGUCUAAUACGGCUUCAUGGAGCUCCACCUUAAACUUCUUGAUGUACUACUCCAGAUCCUGGUGAUACACCGGCUAAGGUUAAAACUUCAUCUUACUAAAAGGUGCUCCAUCAGCCUUCUUCCAUCAAAUCCAUUCUGAAGAAAUGCAUCCUUAACUCAGCACGGUGACAAUAGCAUCAGCGGGCGAUGACAUCACGGGUAACCGUGUUUCUGCUCUUGUCAUUCCCAUGAGCUAUCAUUCUAUAGUUGAUAUCUCCUGCCUUAGGGUUUUCUUUGACAAAACUUCAAGUUCUCAUGCUCCUUGUUUCAGUCUUUCUUCGAUACACCUUGAUCUCGGGUAUUGACAACUUCCAUAGUCUGCCAAGUUCCAUAAGGGUAGCCUUCCUAGGUCAUACAAAUCUGGGAAUUCUUCAGAGCCUUCAAAUUCUACUUGUCUUCGGUCUUCAACCGUUGUAGUUUCCAUUAUUCAGAUGCACGGAAAAUACUCUUCAUUCCGAAGUGGUCUUAGUUGUCCGAUAUCUUGUACUUCUUGGAGUGGUCUCAUUAGUCGAAUCUUCAUGUGGUCAAAAGGGGAAAGGGGUAUGGUCUUACUAAAGGGAAUUUUUGAAUAAGCUCAGAAGAGAAGAGAGGUAAAAGAUCUUUUUGAAAGGGAAAGUUGUAGAGAAAAAUCUUUGCUAUGGGCUUGCCAGUUUCUAGGGACACGUCCUACAGUCAACAUGUGCUCUGAUACCAUCUUGGAGCGAUCCGACCCGAAUGGAUCAAGUCUCUGUGCUUAAGUGUCAUCCCUGGAUCGGUAUGCUGACACACACAGUACUCGAGGAUUUAUAACAGAGGUAAAUCACAUGUAUAAAGUAAUGUAAAUACUAUUACCUCAAUCCAAAAUAGCGCAAGUAACAAGGUUGUGGAUUCCCAUCAACACCAACGACAAAGUUGAGUGUAGAAAUCAUAACCCUAACGUAUCACUUACUCUUCGUAAGAUUCCUACAACAUGAGACAUUGCAGCCACAAAGGCUCAGUACAUUGAAUGUACUGGCAAAUUCACACCAUAGAGAGAAAUGAUGAACAAUGGCUAUCUUUACAUGCAUAUUUGGCUGGUGGAAAAGCUCUAUGGUUAUAAUGUUUUUGCGAAAAGCCAAAUUUUCCCUACUGCAAAGGAAUAAAUUUUACUUAACUAUCAUGGUGGUUGUUGAACAUUGAGAAUGGUUGACAGCAUUCUCAAUCCCAAUUAAGUAACAUCAUUAAACCCAACAAAAUUAAUUUAAAGUAAUGUGAUGAGAUUCACAUGAUAAUCCAAGUACUAGAUACUCAAGACGCCCAUAACUGGGGACACGGCUAACCAUGAUUAGUUUAUACACUCUGUAGAGGUUUGUGCACUUUUCCCCACAAGACUCUAUCGCCUCCGUUUGAUUUCUCGCACUACAUGGUGUUUGAGAAACGGAUGACCGAGACAUAGUCUUUCAGAAGCGCUAGCACCUUACGAUCUGGUAGACCGUUACACCUACUUUCCCCUACAUCUGCUAGUCUACUACUGUAAGAGUUCACACAACUUAAUCAACUAUGCUAGAGCCCAUAAUAGCUUGUGGCUACACACGGAAGUUUCUAGUAUGAAUAAUCUCAUGAUCCCUUUGAGCCUAGGUGGCGGUCCAUAAAAAAACAGGCAAUCCUGGAAUACCCAGGUGCCUAGACAGGCAAUCGCUGGAAUACCCAGGUGCCUCAGUCCACCCAGAUGUGUGUUAAAGUUGCCACCUUAAGUAAACCAUUAAUUAACAAUCUCACAUCUGUCAUGAAAUACUCUCAAACCCAAUCCUUGUCUACGAGCAUAACAUGGCAAUAUAAGCAUAACGUAAUAGUAACUCUCAAGGUUUGAAUGCAGGGCAAUAGGUUCCUACCUCAUCAACUACUUUCCAAUACCCACAUGUUAUCAAUCCUAGUCAUGCAAUGUUUGAGGGUGAAACUAAUGCAUAAACACUGGGUAUGAAAGGGAUAUGAUCAAAGUGUGAAAUUGCCUGCAAUGUUGAUGAAGAUGAUUCACACUCAAAACUCUUGAUAGUUCUACUCGUCACACUCCGGUCAAUCUAUCGUAAGCAAGCAAUAGUAACCACACAUAAGCAAUCACUCAGAAGAUCUGGAAGAACGAAGAAGACAGUUCAGAAAACACCAAAACCAAGCAAAUAACUCUUGCAACAUAAAACAAUUUCUAACAGUACCAAAAUUAUAUGAAUUUGGCCUUAUCAUAAGGUUUAGGUCAAGAGCUUCGAUUUGCAAAAAGAAUCAACUCAAACGGAGCUACGAAACUCAAGUUAUCAUCAAACGAAGUUUGAAUUCAAAUAUCAUCUAAUUCAAUGUUUAAAUUUUUAAAAACAUGUUUGGGUUGGAUUACUGGAUAGAGGAGAUCAUAACGAAGAAGUGGGUGUUGGUUUCGUUGGAUUUGGACAAACGAGUAAAAAGUUACGGCUAUUUGAAAAAUCAGGGCCAAGCUGUUUUACGGAAGAAAAAAUUGCUACGGGCUAGGGUCUAAUGUAUAAAUACGUAGACUAAUUGAUAAUCUAAUUAUUUUAUCGUAUUAGUCUAAAAAUAAUAAACUACGGAAGUAUAAGAAAAAAAGAAAGAUACUUUUAUAAGGCAGAGAAAAGAUGACUUUGGAGAGAAGAGAAAAUUUCUAUAAGUCGCGCCGGAGAGGAGAAAUAUAUUUUUAUUAAAUGAAUCUAGUCAAACCAAAAUAUUGAUUUAACUCGAAUCGGAUGAUUUUUGGAGGCUCUAUGGGUCUAUAUUUAUUGGUGGAAAAGAGGCUUAGAGGUCAAAAGCUAGGCAAUGUGGGACUAAAUGUAGACGAAAAUAUACGAAACAGAGAUGAAAAGAGGUGAGCGGCUCGCAUGGGCCUAAAGGCCUUCGGCCGGCCGCGUGCACGCUGCUGCUGCAGUUUUUUUUUACAAAAUUCAGCCUAAGAAAAAAAAUAAAAA
rnacentral:lncRNA from 1 species